rnacentral:tRNA from 1 species
CUCAGGGUAGUAAAAUAAUAAUACGCUGGAGUUAAGGUUCAGAGAUGGGCUGAAAGUUCUCUUGAGA